rnacentral:rRNA from 1 species
AUUGAACGCUGGCGGCAGGCCUAACACAUGCAAGUCGAGCGGAGCGGCGGACGGGUGAGUCAUGUAUGGGGAUCUGCCCGAUAGAGGGGGAUAACUACUGGAAACGGUGGCUAAUACCGCAUACUAUCGGAUGAAACCAUAUGGGAUUAGCUAGUAGGUGGGGUAAAGGCCUACCAAGGAGAAGAUCCGUAACUGGUCGGAGAGGAUGAUCAGUCACACUGGAAAUGAGACAUGGUCCAGACUCCUACGGGAGGCAGCAGUGGGGAAUAUUGGACAAUGGGCGAAAGCCUGAUCCAGCCAUGCCGCGUGUGUGAAGAAGGUCUUCGGAUGGUAAAGCACUUUAAGUUGGGAGGCGUUACCCGCAGAAGAAGCACCGGCUAACUCCGUGCCAGCAGCCGCGGGAAUAC